rnacentral:lncRNA from 1 species
AGAGAUAGAUAAUUCUGAAAAAAAACACAAACGGCUGAAAAAUUAAAGUGAAAUUACUGUUUCAUUGAAACUCCUUUUGUGAUUUCUUAAGUUUCCAAUUCCUGAAAAUAUUUUCUGAUUAAUCUAGAUUCAAAAUGGAUUUAAAUUGGGUGUUUGAGGUUUGGUUUUGAAGUUACUGUGGUUAUUGUUCGAGUGACACUAUCUUUUAUUGUUUUCACAAUCAUCUUGGUUUGAACUUGUGUUUCUAGUGCUGGCUUGCUACUAUUAUACUGUCGAGUCCUCAUUUUUUCUAUUUUGUUUUCGAGUUCCAGGUACAUUUUUCUGAGCUUUGCUUUGAUGUAAAUUUUAGCUGGAAGAUGGGAAUGAGAAGUUAAUGCAUUGCAGCAGACUUAUCUGAGUUUCAUUUAUUUAUUUUUAUUUAUUUUUUCCUUAGAUCGUAUGAAUCUUUGUUCAUUCUAGCUAAUUUGAGUUUUGAACAAUGGAUUCACAUAGUUGUACUUAAUUUGGGAUUGUUGAAGUGAUGGCAUUUUUGGUACGUUGUGAAUCGGACUUCGCCUUAGAUAAGAUGAUUGUCCAUGCUUGAUAAUGGUUUGUGUUCGAAAUAUUUUUUAAAUAGGCUAAGGGUAAUCAUGACCUUGUUUGAUAUAUUGUCAAAGGGCAGUGAGUGAUUUUAGUUUAAAAUAUGGUGUAGAAGUUGAAAUGCUUAUUCAGUAUGUUUAGAAGUGAAAAUUAAGGAAUGAGCAUGAUUUAGUUUUCAUGGCUUUCAAUAGUUGCAAACUGUUAUGGUCUCAUUGAUUAGCAUAUGAAUAUGUUUUAAAUAAAAUGGUUUAGAAAGGUUUUCAGUUAGUUCUAAUCAGUUUCUUGAUGCCCAGCAACUGUUAAUUUAAUCUGGUGGUUUUUCAAUGUCAAAUUUACAAAGCUACUGAUGUCUAAAAAUUCCUUUAUUGUCACACUGCCAAAUCUGAUUGCUUCUGCUAUUGUACAGGUUUCAUAUGGAAUCCCUGAAUGUCCAGCUUGUGUGUUACUUCGUACGAAUCAGGAUUAUAUUGGGCCUGACAUGAAACAACUUGCCCAGAAUCGGGAUAAGGUAUUAGGCAUCGGUUGGGCCUACUUGAUUUUGUUGGCCUAGUUCCCUUGCUUGAUAUUUUAUGGAUAUCAAUUUAACUUGGGUUUCUUAGAAUAAUAAAUAUUCUGAACUUCUAAAGUUGCCUCACUAUCAUAAUUAAUUAGACUUUCUAAAAUGAACUUGAGGUGUGCCAUAUUUAGCAACAAAUAUCUAUAGCCCUCAUGGUUAAGUCUAGAAAUUGGAAUUGAGGUGCGCUGCGCCAAAUAAAAUCUCAAAUACGUGGUCCUCAUUUAGUUACUUCUUUUAAAUCCUUAGAACUCGAGGCGUUCCAUUUAGAAAAUUUUCCACGGCCCUCGCAAAGUUAAAAAUGCGUAGUCGCUUUAGGCACGUUUUUAAUAAUAUUACCUUCCUAAACUCGGGUACGCAUUUCAUGUGACCCAAAUCACAAUGUUAAAUAAAAUGUGUCUCAGUCCGCAGGUGCAUUUCAUGUGGCGUGGUUCAAAAAUAUAUUUUAGAUAAUGUUGAAAUCUUCUUAAAAAUAAUUAAAAGCGGUUUUAAAGUUAAAAAUGUAUCAUGGACUAAAACAUGUAUUAAAUUAGAUAAUUGGUCAAUUAUAAUAGUUUAAGCGACCACGCUAGAACCACGGAAUACGGGGGUGCCUAACACAUUCCCUCGGGUUAACAUAAUUCUUUAUUCAGAAUUUUUGGUUUGUAGACUUCAAAAGGAAAGUCGAAAUCUUCCUCGAUUUGGGAUUAAAAAUAAACCGGUGACUUGGGACACCAGAAAACAAACCUACUAGUGGCGACUCUGAAUUGAAUAAAUAAUCCCAUUUUGAAUAGUGCAAGUUAAAUUGGAAAAACUCCCUUAUACACUAUCCUUCGGGGUUGGUGUAUUGUAAAAAUGAGGUGUGAUAGCUGGCCAUUAGGGUUUUGAGGUCUUUUUAUUCACUAUGUAUGAAGUUGUUCAUAAUACGUUUGAGACUUUGAGUUCCUAUUUUCUGGUUUCAUUUCUACAUGCUUCAAUUAGAAUUAAUUGCCUUAGGAUUCAAUCUUAUUGCCUAUUUGACUCUUAUUUGACUUAACUGAAGAUUUUGCCUCUUCUACCGUUAUGGUAUCUUUUCACAACCGUUUAACUUUAAUUGAAAUUAUUACUAUCUCAUCCUAUAAUUUUUAGUCUUAAUUGGAGCUAUGAUAUCUUCUGUUGCAUACCAUUAUUUGAAUUGUUGAAUAUCUUUUGCAAAUUGCUCAACCUUAAAAGGAGUUUAGAUAACAUAUAUCUUAGUUGACUUGACUUUAUUUAGGACUAUUGGACUCGUGUUGACUUCCUAAUUGUUGACUUGUAUAUUGUGGGAUCGUUUCUAUAUAGUUGUCUUCCCUUGUUGAACUGUUCCCUUUAUGCCUAGUAUUCUUUACUGUGAUUAUUCCUUGUGAACUGGUUCUACCGUUUCUUUGUGAUUUAAAGUUUUUGAGUUGAUUUACUCGGCAUACUUUGUAUUAUUGUCAUUUUUAAUGUUGCACUUGUUGUGGUGAUGUAUAAGGUUUAUGUUGUGCUAUAGCUAUUAUUUCUAUUGGUUGCGCUGCAUAUUUACUUUGGGGCUACAGGACGGUAUCCCCAUAGGGUUGUUUUACAUAUUUACUUUGGGACUACAAAAAGGUAUUCCGGUAUAUCCGUUGCACGUUUACGUUUGGGAAUAUGGGAAGAUAUACCAAUAAAUCUCCUUGUUCUGCAUAUUUACUUUGGGACUACAAAACGAUAUUCCGAUAGAUCUCCCAACACAUUUACAUUCGGGACUACAGGGUAGUAUACUGGGAUAUCCCAUGUUAUUAUCAUUGUGUUCAGAACUGUGCUUUUAAUUGAUCAUAUCCCUAUGCAAAUAUUCUACGUGUUGUCCGUUCUUUUCUUUAUGCUUACUUGCUGGUAUGAACUAUAUUAGGAAACUUGCACAAGUAUACACGUGGAUAAGCACCCUUAUCGGAUAAAAGGCUUCUUGAUAUUGCUGAAUAUAGAGACACUCCCUUCUUUAUUUGCCUUCCAUGUGAGAAUGGCUCUAUUUGGCACGUGAGUUAUCGGUACGAUUCUGAGGUAUGAUGAGGGCACAUGAUGCCAAGUGUUAGGGUUCAGGUAUUGAGAUCUGUAUUGUAUGAUUAUGAGGAGAGGUGUCAUAAGGUGACUUAUAAUCGAAGGAUAUUUAUUCGGAAAGAUUAUAUUUGAAAGGUAUUUAUUUUGAAAGAACUAUUUUUGAAAAAUAUUUAUUUGAAAAAAGUAUAUUUUGAAAUAUUUUUAUCACUUGAAGGAUUUGACUAAUUGAAUGGAGUUUGUUGGCUAAGACCUAAUGUGAAAAUUGUCCUAGUUGCUAAAUUAUGACUUGCCUUUACUGUGUUCGGAUUCGGAUUUGGGUUGUAUUUUCGUUCACUCUUCUGUAUUCUUAUUAUGGUGUUCCGCUGUUACUUGAGAUUUUCUUUCCUUAUUGCAAUUACUGUAUUGUUAUCCGCAUCACGUAUUCUUUAUAUAGAUGUCAUGUUAUGCUGUUUCUAUUCUUAUGCUUGUUCAAUUUAUUAGACUAGUAGGUGUCUUGACUAUUCCUCAUCACUACUCCACCAAGGUUAGUCUUGAUACUUACUAGGCACCACUGUGGUGUGCUCAUACUACACUUCUACAUAUGUUUUGUGCAGAUUCAGGUAUUGUUUGUUAGUAGCUGUGCAGAUGAUUCUUGCCGAAGAGACUCAAGGUAACCCUGCUGCUGCGUUCACAGGCUUCGGAGUUCCCUUUCUAUUUUGUAUUCACAAUGUUGUAUUUAUUUCCAUACAGUAAUGUUUAGAAUUUGUAGUGAAACUCUUUAGAGCUUAUGACUUAUACUACCAGUUUUGAGAAUUUGUAAGUUUUGUG